CUGCAACACAGCUGACGAUACCAGCAGCCUGGAAAAACGGACGUGUGCUCUUUUCCUGAUUUACGUUUUCCACUGUAAGACGAAAAAGCAUCAAAGGAGUCGAGCGGACUUUUCAGAAGAAAAGCCUUCUCUCUCCUGGAAGCGUGGCGGAGCCGAGUACCCGGAACAGCGUCCCCCGCGCGCUGCCGCCCCCUCCCGGGGCAGAGUGCCGCCGGCCAAGGCGACGGGCGGACGCUUUUUUUGGUUGAUUGUUUUAGGAAAGCUCCUGGCGGAGACAUGAUGGCCACUUCAAACUCAGUGGAUCCAGCACUACAGCCUGAGAGCACAGUGCCUGCUUUCCCAGCAGACAGGCCCAAUAAGUAGCAGGUACCUGAUUUAAAAAACAAAAAACCUAUAUGCCGUUGUGCUAAGAACUUUGCCAAAUGUGUUGCAUUUAAUCCUUGUAAUGAGCAGGAGAGCCUUUUAUUCUCGUUUUACACAUGUGGACACUGAGGCAUGAGCAACCUAAGUGACUUGGCAGUGACUGUACACUUUUUAGUGGCCCACCCAGGACUCAAACCUGCAUCUGCCUGGCUCCAAAGCCCACAUUGUAAUUAGUAUUGCUUGUGUGAAAUAAAAUGGUUUACCUUCCGCAAUGAUGAAACUGACAUCUUGUAUGGAAGAUAGGCAGGUUAGGUUGUCUGAACCCCGAGAAAGGGAGGGAAAAGACACCUACUAAGAAAGGCUUCUUGUGGCUAAUGGAACUCAAAUAAAAAGCGGAACUUAACUCGCUGGGUGGUUCAGUUGGAUGGAGUGUCCUCCUGCGCAAGCAAAAAAGGUUGUGUGUUUGAUUCCGAUCAGGGAACAAUGGGUUAGCCAAAAAGUUCGUAUAUUUUUUUAACUUUUUUUGUAUGCUGGCUAUAAUAAUGCUUUGUUGUCUUUAACUCCAUUCAAAACAAUUUUGUUAGAUUGUAGUGUGACAGCAUGCAUUUAGAAAAACUUGACAAAAUUGGUGAAUUUUUGUGCAACCAUUUUAAUAUUGAAGAUAGAAGAAGAUAUAUAACAUUUUCAGCAUGUUAUGCUUGAUUAUUUCAAGAGAGGUAAAAACUGAAAUGCAAAAAAAAUUGUGCAACUUAGGCUGGCGUGGCUCAGUGGAUUGAAUACCAGCCUGUUGACCGAAAGGUUGCUGGUUCAAUUCCCAGUCGGGGAACAUGCCUGGGUUGUAGGCUGGGUGCCCAGUUGGGGGUAUGUGAGAGGCAACUGAUUUAUGUUUUUCUCCUCUUCUUCCUUUCUUCUCCCUAUAAAAAAUUAUAAUAAAUAAAAUCUACCAAAAGUGCAGUAUGGAGAAGGUACUGUGACUGACUGAACAUGUCAAAAGAAGUUUGUGAAGUUUCUUGGUGCUAUUGACAUUUUUGCCAAAUAAUUCUUUGCUGUGGGGCUGGUUUAUCAUUGGAAGAUGUUGAGCACACCCUGGCCUCUACUGACUAGAAGUCAAUAGUGGGAGAGAGCCGACAUAGUCAAAAUAUCCAGACCAAUAAAGUUGUUGGUGAAAAUGAAAAACAUAUCUUUUAUUUUACAGGAAAAAAUAUAUGAACUAUUUGGCCAAUCCAGUAGUAGGUUGCAGGUAUGAUACCCAGUUGGGACAUGUAUAGGAGGCAAUGGAUGGAUGUUUCUCUCUCACAGCAGUGUCUCUGUCUCUGGCUCUCUCUCUGCUCCCCGCUUCCUUUCUCUCUAAAAUCAGUGAUCAUAUCCUUAGGUGAGCAUUAAAAAAAAAGUUAUUAAAAAAAAAAAAGCAGAGCCUAGCAAGCAACUCUACACAGGGGCCUCUUAUGCAGACUGCACUUCACAGUUGCACUAAAAACACUUGCCUUGUAUUGUGUUUCUGCCCCCUGAAACAACCCUUAUAAAGGAGUUCUUGGAGUCUUAUUUCAACCAAUCAGACCAAACGCUUUCCUCAAUCAGAGCUGCGCAACACUAACCAAUCAGGACAGUAUCUUUUGGACCAGUCAAACCGUAAGGAUUUGGAGUCUUCAUUUGCAAGUGCACUUAGUGGGUGACUCCUUUCCAUAUAAGGCAGUUUCCCUCUGGCUUAAAGAGAACACUUUCUUGUGAAGACAGAAGGUUGACUCUCCUUUCCUGAGCUGAAAUACCAAUCAGUCUCUUGCUAGAGCAUACCAACUCAGAGCAGAGCAGAGCUGUCUAGCCAGGGAGGUGCCUGGCCCCAGGGCUGCAUUGCCACUGUGAUGUUUUCACAGCCGUGAUAGCCACGAGCUGUUCUACAGCAUGUACAGUAUCACAAUUGAGCUAUUUUGCACUGAAUAAAGUUUUCUUCCCUGUGCCCCAAAUUCGGUAUUCCUGUUGGAUUGAAUUGGUGCC